CAAAGUUCUACAGUCCGAAUU
rnacentral:sRNA from 1 species